rnacentral:rRNA from 14 species
CCUUCACCCGAGUUCUCUCAAGCGCCUGAGAAUUCUCAUCCUACCCACCUGUGUCGGUUUACGGUACGGUCUGCGUAAGCUGAAGCUUAGGAGCUUUUCCUGGAAGCGUGGUAUCAGUGACUUCGCCAUAAAGGCUCGUCUCGGUGCUCGGUCUUAAAGGAUCCCGGAUUUGCCAAAGAUCCAAACCUACCGCCUUUCCCCAGGACAACCAACGCCUGGUACACCUAACCUUCUCCGUCCCUCCAUCGCACUUAC